rnacentral:rRNA from 1 species
GACGAACGCUGGCGGCGUGCCUAAUACAUGCAAGUAGAACGCUGAAGGAGGAGCUUGCUUCUCUGGAUGAGUUGCGAACGGGUGAGUAACGCGUAGGUAACCUGCCUUGUAGCGGGGGAUAACUAUUGGAAACGAUAGCUAAUACCGCAUAAGAGUAGAUGUUGCAUGACAUUUGCUUAAAAGGUGCAAUUGCAUCACUACCAGAUGGACCUGCGUUGUAUUAGCUAGUUGGUGGGGUAACGGCUCACCAAGGCGACGAUACAUAGCCGACCUGAGAGGGUGAUCGGCCACACUGGGACUGAGACACGGCCCAGACUCCUACGGGAGGCAGCAGUAGGGAAUCUUCGGCAAUGGACGGAAGUCUGACAGAGCAACGCCGCGUGAGUGAAGAAGGUUUUCGGAUCGUAAAGCUCUGUUGUAAGAGAAGAACGAGUGUGAGAGUGGAAAGUUCACACGGUGACGGUAUCUUACCAGAAAGGGACGGCUAACUACGU